GGCGGGGUAACGGCCCACCCAGGCGAUGACGGGUAGCUGGUCUGAGAGGACGACCAGUCACACUGGGACUGAGACACUGCCCAGACUCCUACGGGAGGCUGCAGUCGAGAAUCUUCCGCAAUGGGCGAAAGCCUGACGGAGCGACACCGCGUGCAGGAUGAAGGCCCUAGGGUUGUAAACUGCUGUCACACUCUAGGAAUGGCGUCCGGUUAAUAGCCUGGCGCCUGACCAAAGUGAGAGGAAGCACCGGCUAACUUCGUGCCAGCAGCCGCGGUAAGACGGAGGGUGCAAACGUUGUUCGGAAUCACUGGGCAUAAAGCGCACGUAGGCGGCGCACUAAGUCAUGUGUGAAAGCCCCCGGCUCAACCGGGGAACUGCACAUGAUACUGGUGUGCUCGAGGAUGGUUGGGGUGAGUGGAACUCCUGGUGGAGCGGUGAAAUGCGUAGAUAUCAGGAGGAACACCGGUGGCGAAAGCGACUCACUGGACCGUCUCUGACGCUAAGGUGCGAAAGCUAGGGUAGCGAACGGGAUUAGAUACCCCGGUAGUCCUAGCCGUAAACGAUGGGCACUAGGCAGGGGGAAUGCCUAUGC
rnacentral:rRNA from 1 species